rnacentral:rRNA from 1 species
GAUGAACGCUGGCGGCGUGCCUAAUACAUGCAAGUCGAGCGAACAGACGCGGAGCUUGCUCCUCUGACGUUAGCGGCGGACGGGUGAGUAACACGUGUAUAACCUACCUAUCAGACUGGUAUAACUUCGGGAAACCGGAGCUAAUACCGUAUAAUAUAUUGAUCCGCAUGGUUCAAUAGUGAAAUACGGUUUUUCUGUCACUUAUCGAUGGAUCCGCGCCGCAUUAGCUAGUUGGUAAGGUAACGGCUUACCAAGGCAACGAUGCGUAGCCGACCUGAGAGGGGGGUCGGCCACACUGGAACUGAGACGGGGUCCAGAGUACUAAGGGAGGGAGCAGUAGGGAAUGUUCCGCAAUGGGCGAAAGCAUGACGGAGCAAGGCCGCGUGAGUGAUGAAGGUGUUCGGAGCGUAAAAAUCGGUUAUGAGGGAAGAACAAAUGUGUAAGGAACUAUGCACGGAUUGACGGUACCUAAUCAGAAAGCCACGGCUAACUACGUG